AUGCACGCUUCCGCCCCGGCUGCCAGGAGGAUGAGGGGAUCAAGAACGCCAUCUGCACCCUCCUGGACACGUGGACGAGCAUCUUUCCCGGGGACUUCUCCACAAGAUCAGGCUUGUGCGCCCUCAGUAAGAUGAAGGCGUACCUGAUCGUUCAUUGUCCGUACUCGGACGUCCUCAUACGUGUGCACGAGCUCCUUACGAGCCUGCUCUCAGAAACAUCGGAGGAGAGCGAUUAACAACAAGCCAGGGUGACACAUCUGGAGACCAUAAGAAAACUCUGCUGCUGCUCUGUGGAGGAGAGGACGACUGAGGGAGCCAGGAGCACAUGGUGCCGCAGCCUCCAUCAGCAUCCCUCAGCGUGUUGCCUUCCUGUGCCUGACCACCUGCCUUACUCGUGCUAGUAUGCUAAUCACCAGAUGUGUCACAGAUGACAAUAGAUGACAAUCCUCCUGAUCUCCCUGUUGACAUUAGUGCUGGCCUUAACUCCUGCGUGUGUCUAAGUCUGAGUUAUUAAUAUUGUCUGUAGCGGGGUCAGAUUGCUUUUUAUAAUCUUUUUAAAGCUUCUUUUAUAUUAAGUUA